rnacentral:lncRNA from 1 species
GAAAACAACAACCAACAAUUUAAGAUGGUAACACAUUACAAGUCAAUUGUCCAAAUAGAUGCAAACUUUAACAAAAGUUGAGCUAUAUACAUAUAUAAUUCUAAUGAUCAUCACAUAACAUAUUUCUAAAUCCAACUCAUAACAUCCACAAAACAAUCUAAUAUAACGCGACAUAGUUUAUUGUUGGGGAUAGUGUAGCCAUUGAUGUUCAAUUAGGUCUUCUUGAAGCUGAUGAUGUGCUGAGCUAUCUUUAAUAUGAAGACGACUACCUUCAAUUUAAACAUUCGUGAAGGUCCUCGAAUGAUUGCAAAUCGUUUUUGAAGUACUCCAAAUGUUCGCUCGACAUCUUUUCUUGCAGAUUCUUGUGCUUUUGCAAAAUGUUUAUUCUUGUUCCCUCUUGGUGAUGGAAUCGCUUUUACAAAAGUUUGCCACUUAGGAUAAAUACCAUCUGCAAGGUAAUACCCCAUAGUAUAGUCGUGGCCGUUGACUAUGUAAUUGACUAGUGGAGCAUACCCUUACGCAAGUUCCAUGAAAAUAGAAGACAUUAAUGUCGUUAUGUGAACCGGGCAUACCAAAAAAUGUAUGCCAUAUCAAGAGAUCAUAUGAAGCAACCGCCUC